GGCACAUGAUUCGCUGUGGCGACCCCUGAAAGGGAACAGCCGAAAGGAGAAGAAGAAGAAGAGAAAGGCAGCACAGCCUGGUUCCUGCAGUAACAGACUGGCUCACUUUCCUUAUAUUCAGCGUCUGUGAUGAACAACUGACUUGGAAAAUAUCUGGUUUUGAUAGAAAGCUACAGGAAGCCUGUGGACAUAAACACUGAAGGAGAAAAGUCAACUACAACUCCCAGUGUGCAUUUCACUAACAGGACGGUGUAGUCCCUCAUUCGUCCAGGAGUGUUCCAUCGUAGAAAAGGUUUCAGUCAUAGUCAUCUGGACACUGUUGUCAGAAUCAACUGAAAACAGUGUCCAGAUGACUACGACUGAAACCUUUUCUACCAUUUCACUAACAAACAUCCACUCACAGAGCUUAACACUAACAUUGAGCUGAAGAUAAAUAUUAGACUAUUGAGAGAACAGAUUUUACAACCUGCAGCUUCAAUUAAUUCACUUUUAAAUUCUGGGUCAGUUUUGGAUGAAUUCAGUAGCCAUGGCGAUGAGUUUUGUGCUCAACUGCAACUACGAAGUGUUUUGAAUUUGCUCUGAUUCACGCCUCUGACUGGCUUCUUCUCCACAGCAACAGCAGCUGAGGCUCAUGGGUAUUGUAGUAUUUAGAGACAGAAAAAAUCUGAUUAGUCAGAAACAAAGUGUCAGUAAUUCAAACUGGAGGUCAGAGCAGGAUGGUUAUAUUAUCCAGGGCAUCGGGGACGUUUGUCCUGAGGGCUGCGCUACAGGAAUCUUUUUCCCUCUAGAUUUCUUGCCCUGAUGCUAGUUUCACCAAGUUUGCAAACGGCAAAUGGUGAUUUGCAACAUGAGAUCAUUUCCUGUCACUCAUUCGGACACAGUUCACGGAUCAAAACAAACAUGCAUGAGAAUGUGCCACACCUGUGGGAAUUCUUUAGUGAAAGGCAAUGCUGCCUUCAUUUUCUUUUUCCUUUUUUCUGAAUGUUGAUGAUUAGUAAACCUUUGCAUGGCAGACUUCUUGUCAUUUUUUCUUUGGGGGAUGUUCAUUAAUAGUGUGAGGCAAGUGAUUAACAGGAGGACAUGAGACAUGACAAGACAAGAGAGAGAAACAACAGCAAAAAGGAUAGAAACACAUAAGCUUAAGUUAAGUAAUUAACAGUUUUAGUGAAACAGGCCGAUGUUGUUCUUUAAUCAGACAGAUGUGUCUGAUGAAAUCUGAUUCAGACUUGUGUAACAGGGUGAUGAUUUAUGAUGUGGUUCUGUGUGAAAUGAACCUCUUCAAACAUGAACCUACCUGCCAGGAUUACAGAGGAACAACAUGGAGACCAGAGGAACUGAAGUGAAACCGGAGAGAUAACACUGGUUCAGACUGAAAAUAGCUCUGUGAAAAACACAGUGUGUGUUGGUGUGGACAUGUUGUCUCAGGUACGGAAUAUAAAAUAUGAUCCAGAAGAUCAGUCUGAGUAGCAGAUCCCUGAGUUUGAAGGUUUAUCAGACACUAAAACACUGCACAGAGGUUUGUAAUACGACCAUCACCAAGUAAACAUUAGAAAUACAGUGUUCAGCUUAGAAAGUCAUCUUCCUGGAACCUAUGCUUAAAAGUAUUUGACUGGCCAAUGCAGUGUGUUGUCAGAUGACAUCUGACUGUUCAACUUCUUUUUGCCAAAGCCUGUUUAUUUGACAGAAUAAUGAUAGUGAUGUCAGAACACGCCUCACUCUACUCACUGAAACACGUCCAGCACACUCCAAUAGGACGGCGUAUUUUAGUGCAGCAGGGGGACACCAGGACCCAGUCAGGUGAGCAGGUGUGAAAGACUGAAGGCUGCUUCCACACUCUGAACCUGCUGCUGCUUUGUGUGCUGCCUCCAUGUUGAUGAAACUGUUUGCUGUGUGCAAAUGUCACACAACUUGGCUGAAACCAGUCCAUGAGCAGGAUGGCUGGUGUCCUUAAUGAUGUUACAGUGAGUGUUGUAAAUGUCCUCGAGUCGUGGUAAUCCUGUGCCAAUGACUUUAGCUGCUGUCUUUACAGUCCUCUGCAGCCAGGCCGCCGAAGCACGCUGUGAUGCUACAUCGGUAGAAGUUCACAACAGCUUUGGUUCCCACACUGAAGCUCUUGAGGCGCCUCAGGAAGUCCAGCCCAUGCUGUGCCUUCUUGAGGAUGCCCGUGGUGUUGAGGGACCAUAUCCCUGUAUGAUGACUCGUCCCCACCCUGAAUGAGGCCAAGGAUGGUCGUGUCAUCUGCAUCCAUCAGUACUUACAACUGCAAGGAGUUCUGUUGUGGCAGGAGGCUCAACAAGGCAGAUAACACCAUCGGUGACUGUUGGGAGGAAUGAAAAAUCAAAAAAGGGAAUAUACAGUACACACACACACACACACACACACACACACACACACACACACACACUUACAUCUGAUGUAGGCACUUGUGUCCUGGGGGGGUGUUUGGCUCGGAUGAUGCUCUCCAGGGAUGCCUUCAGCCACUGGUCGCCCGGCGUUAUGGCUCAGGGCCAGCUCUUCUGCCUCUGUCAGAGGUGGUGGUGGAGGGCACUCCAACCAUUUUUGGGGCCUCUGCCUUCUUUCUGUUGGCUGAGUAGAACUCAGGAUAUUAGGCGAGAGGACAUUUCUGUGUUUUAAAACAGCAUUAUGUUGGGGGUUAAAUCUACUACAAGCUGAAAUAGCCACUGAAUGAUAUUUACUUAGUUUAAUGUGUCAAAUUAAAACCAGAGGAGGGAGGUACAAUCAUGAGUCUAUAGGCCUGAGCUAAAUAUGCCUUACCUGUUUGAACUAUAUUAAUCAUUUUUAUAUUUAAUUUCCAGCUGCCCAAAGGAUUGCACCUAAGUGAAAGAAAGUAUGGUUAAAUGUUAAAUGAAUAGACUACUGCAUUCAAAUUUACGCAUUGACUUCGGCAGCAAAUCUCUCCCAUGCCAACUCUCUCUCCUUUGCCACUGCAGCUGUGUUGCUUUUUUUUCUGAGUGCUCAUAUUCGCCAUAAGCACGUAUUAGAGCUUCUAACUCCAGUGGGGUGAAGAAGAGCAACCUUUUUUUCUCGCCGGUUGCCAUGGUGAAUCGUAGUAUCAGAGCACCAUUGAUGAUGGCUUUUUAUAGGUGCAGGAAUUGACAACCAGGCAAAUAAAUAAAUAAAACAAUGAGAACAAUUAAAGAUUAAAAACAAUAACAAUUAUAACCAAUACAAUUAGCCCUUAAACCUUGGAAUUGUGUCAGUGUUGUUAAUGAGGUUGCCUUAAAGUGUCUUUGAAGCAAAUUCCAGGUAUGUGGGGCACAGUAACUAACUAACUCUGUUCGAAAUUUUGGAACCUGCAGGGAAAGCCAUGUCUGUGAGCAUUGCAAUGGCUACCAACACUCCAAGAACACAGGCCUGAGAGAGAGGGUGGCGUGUCCCACAACUGUCAUGGAUCGCUCGUGUUACCUGCCGUGAAGGAGGACUUCACCACAGCUCUCACCUGCCUCGGCCUGCCUGCUCUCCUCAGCCUCAUGGCGGUCUGCUGUCUGCCACCAGUCUACCGGCUUCCAGCCUUACCUCCAAACUCCUGGUUUCUCAUUGUGUGUUCUUCUAAAUAACCGGAACCGACUACUGCACACUCGCUGUCCUGGUCGUGCUUUUUUGCCCAGCCCCGGUAUACCAUAACAAUAACUAUCUCCAGUAAUUAAUCUUAAUGCGGAGUGAUAUACUGCAUCUACAGGUUUGAGAGGGGCCCGCCCAUAAAUAACAUCCCCGUAGUCUAAUACUGAGAGGAAAACUGCAUAAACAAUUAGUUUUCUUGUAAAUAAAGGAAAACAAGAUUUAUUUCAAUAAAGAAAGCCAAGUUUCAAUCUCAGCUUAGAUAACAGCAUGUCAAUAUGGACUUUAAAAGUAAGUUUUUCAUUAGUCCAAAUGCCUAGAUAUCUAUAGUAUUCACUCUGCUUAUUAUGGUGUUAUCAGCAGAACGGAUUUCAACACUAUCGUAGUCAGUUUUUCUUGCAUUGGAAAACAACAUCCAUUUUGUCUUUGCACAGUUUAGGACCAUUUUCAAGUUGUGGAGAUGUUUUUGAAGGCGGUUAAAUGAUAGCUGCAGAUUUAGAGUGGCGGCAUGAACAGAAUCUGCACACAAGUAAAGGAUAGUGUCAUCAGCAUAAAGAUGGAAAUUGCAAAUGAAAAGUAAUAUCGUCUAUAUGUAUGGUGAAUAAGAUUGGUCCAAGGACUGAACCUUGAGGAACUCCCUUUGUAAUGGGGAGAAAAGAGGACUGGGCAAAGUUUUAUAUAUAUAUAAAAAAAAAAAAACUUUGACCUUCACCCUCCGCGGGUGGUCUCAUCCUUCGAGCUCGGGUCCUCUACCAGAGGCCUGGGAGC